AUUGAACGCUGGCGGCAGGCCUAACACAUGCAAGUCGAGCGAGCGGCGGACGGGUGAGUAAUGUCUGGGAGACUGCCUGAUGGAGGGGGAUAACUACUGGAAACGGUAGCUAAUACCGCAUACCAUCAGGCGUGCCCAGAUGGGGUUAGCUAGUGGGUGGGGUAACGGCUCACCUAGGCGACGAUCCCUAGCUGGUCUGAGAGGAUGACCAGCCACACUGGAACUGAUACACGGUCCAGACUCCUACGGGAGGCAGCAGUGGGGAAUAUUGCACAAUGGGCGAAAGCCUGAUGCAGCCAUGCCGCGUGUGUAAAGAAGGCCUUCGGGUUGUAAAGCACUUUCAGUGGGGAGGCGUUACCCGCAGAAGAAGCACCGGCUAACUCCGUGCCAGCAGCCGCGGUAAUUC
rnacentral:rRNA from 1 species